UACGGAGGGUGCAAGCGUUAUCCGGAUUUACUGGGUUUAAAGGGUGCGUAGGUGGGCAUGUAAGUCAGUGGUGAAAUCUCCGUGCUUAACACGGAAACUGCCAUUGAUACUAUGUUUCUUGAAUUUUCUGGAGGUUAGCGGAAUAUGUCAUGUAGCGGUGAAAUGCUUAGAUAUGACAUAGAACACCGAUUGCGAAGGCAGCUAACUACAGGGAUAUUGACACUGAGGCACGAAAGCGUGGGGAUCAAACAGG
rnacentral:rRNA from 1 species